CGCGAGACUUCCUGUCUCUUCUUGCCUCUGUCCACUUGCGGGACGGUCGAUGUGGAAGAUGAAUUCAGAUAUCAAGCGGCCCAACGUGCACCAGCUUUUGAUGCAUCGAUGCUCAAACAUGACAUUGGUGAACAUACACGGUCCUUCUUGAACUGAGGUUCUUUUUGAUUAUUUAUUUGGAUAAUCUAGUAGUUACUUUGUAAUGGGGCUAGCUUGUUAGCUCCAACGGAACCAACACGUGGCGGAGUCGCAUAAUCGCGGGUGCAUUUGGUUUCAAAUCUCCGAACGAGAGGACUUUGAAAAGGUGCAGUGAAUUGCUGUCGUCAGAACAUGGUUCUCUCGAUGGGAAAGAAUGUGCAUGCGUACUUGCAGAUGGACUUGGGCAGAUUCAAGCCAGCGAUUGAUAAAAGUUAUCCCUAUAUAAAAUUUCUGCAUCGGGAUGAAUGACCUGAGCAAAAUAAGUGGCAUGGAAACAUAAUUGUAGUUUUUUUAAAUAAACAAUGUUGUACAAAGAUGUAUAAAAGCCCCAAAAGUGAGCUUGAAUCAGGAAGCUGGAGCCCAGUGUGACUUCUGAUUGUAUGACUUUUUCUUCAAGCUUUCAAGGAAGAUUUGCUGCUCUUGCAGAUAGUCGUGCUCCUGUGUGCAUGAGUAAUUCAGUUUAGUGCAAGUCCAUAUACUGAAAUAAAGAGAUCAUUUAAAAAAUAAGCAUGCAUGUUUUCCUGAUAUGACCAUGAGUUGCAAUAAAGCUUAUAAGCGUUACAAUA